AAACAUGUAAACAACGCUGGAUUUUAAACGUCUAUAAAAACACAUCUUGCAUGUUUUACGUGGACGGAAAUGCAUUCAACACAUUUGUUUUGACCUCAACGCUUCACGCAAUGAGUUCUGUUUUUCAUCCGGAGCGCAGAUACGUGUCGUGAUGAAGACGAUGAAGACGAUGAAGAAGAGAAGUCGUGAACGCUUCCUGCUGUGUUUUCUAGAUGUCCCGUCCUGUCUCCGAAAACCACUUCGUACCUCGAGGGCAACUCUCCAGGAAGUAACCGAACCGUGUAAUUACGUCGUCACGUGAUGCUCUGUGGCCCUAAAAGACUUUUCCCCAUAAGCUUUUUAUAACGGUGGAUCAUGACUCAUUCCACUGUGAGAAUCUGAGCCUUUUGGUCCGAUAUCUGGGCUGGCUGCGGCUUCCGUUGGCGGCCAGCGCUCCUGCUGCUCGCACACCUGCAGCCCGUCUGAUCAUCAUCUGCACGAUCGCUGCCAGAUUGUUUUCCACUCGACGCCGUGGUAUCUAUGGCCGCGCCCCGCGUACAACUUCCAGUGACUUUUUACUUGUGUGUUAUUUGGAAACUUGCAUGAUUUUUCGUCUCCUCGUUGUUCCUGGAGCCUGAGCCACUCCGAGCUCCAGCUGCACAGCCACUCUGCAGCCCAGCCUCCUGCCAGAACCCUCUGAACCUCCACCUGAACCUCCACCUGAGCCUCCACCUGAACCUCCACCUCAGCCUCCACCUGAACUUCCACCUCAGCCUCCACCUGAACCUCAGAAGCUGAAUAAAUCCCUGCUGAUGUUUCCCCAGUCCUCCUGUCAGCUGUUGAGUCUGACUAAAUUAAACCCUCCCUAUUGUAACCGUUGGGGGUUUCCCUUUCCUUUAUUGUGUUAUGAAACAUUUUUCUGCAUGUAAAAGUUCUGCAAAGUUAAAAAGUCCAAAGGUCCACGCCUCAGGAAACACUGCUGCACUGCCUGAAACUGAAAAUAUGCAUCACAAUGCAACAGACCUUAAUUAAAUAUAUAAAUAUAUGUACUUAUACAUUAUUAUAGAAUGCAUAUGACUGUACUGCAGCCAUGGUUACCAGCUGUAGCUGUUAUUUUUGAUCACACUACCUUGCUCGGCAUGGUCCGCCCUUCUCUGCCUCUGAUUGGCUACAUCCUGCCUGUUAAGUGAUGCACAUAUGCAACUCUCA